rnacentral:lncRNA from 10 species
GGAGCGAGGAAGCCAGUAGUGGCUCAGUUCCAGUCCCAAAGCCUCAAAAGUAGGGAAGCUGACAGUGCAGCCUUCAUCCGUGACCGGCGCUGGAGUUUUGGGUCCACGGAUAAAACGUGUCUCUGUCUCUACCAGAAAAUGAAAGGAAUUGAAAUUAAGAGAAGGGAGAGAUUGAAGAGUGGCACCAAGGUUGAAAGGAGAGAGGUUGAGGGAUAGUGAGGG